rnacentral:tRNA from 1 species
GCCGCGUUCGUCUAGUGGCCUAGGACACCUCCCUCUCACGGAGGAGAUCACGGGUUCAAAUCCCGUACGCGGUACCA